GAAAGAAAUGAAUGUGGUCAGCAUUGCUUUUUCUGUAUUCAGCCUGGGGGUCCAAUAUCAGGAUUCAAAAACGUCUACCAGAGGCAUGAGUUUCACCUGAGCCACCUGUCUUAGAAUUUUUUUCCUAACAACCCACACCUACACCACCAGGCCAGCUCUACUAUUUUGCCCAGGCAAGGUCUGUGCACCAUGUGUAUACCUGGGACCUACAGAGAGCAGAAGAGAAUACCAAAUUCCCUGGCACUGGAGUUUAGGAUGUUUGUGAACUACCAUAUGGGUGAUGGAAACUGAACCUGGGUCCUCUGCAAGAGCAGUACAUGAACUUCACUGCUGAGCCAUCUCUUCAUUCAUGAUGCAUUAUCUUUCAGAAGGGAUUUGGAAGAAUGCUGUGAAGGGGGCAACACCAUAAACAGGGAGCUCACCUGGAGCUCAAGCUGGAACACACAGUCAGGGCAAUCAUUCCAAGGUUGAAAAGAUAAACAGAGUGUUGUCAUGCCAUCCAAACCCACUUUUAUCUACAGUUUCCCAAAAUACCCCCCAAAUCCAGGAAUUUUUGGAUGUCAAACUUGUAUUUUGACAAAUGAAGCCACAGAGACUUAUUUUUCAGAUAUUUUGCCAUCACUAGGAGAAAAUUCCUUGGAAGACUUUAGGGAAUAGAGUCUAAGAACCAAGUCUUCAUGCUCCUUUUUCAUGGAGGGGGAGCAUGUGUAUUUAUUUGCAUGUGUAUGAGUAUGGAUGUGUGUGUACGGGCAUAAGUGUAUGGCUGUGUGUAUG